rnacentral:rRNA from 1 species
ACAACUUUCAGCAACGGAUCUCUUGGCUCUCGCAUCGAUGAAGAACGCAGCGAAAUGCGAUAAGUAAUGUGAAUUGCAGAAUUCAGUGAAUCAUNGAAUCUUUGAACGCACCUUGCGCUCCUUGGUAUUCCGAGGAGCAUGCCUGUUUGAGUGUCAUUAA